rnacentral:rRNA from 1 species
AGUGAACGCUGGCGGCAGGCCUAACACAUGCAAGUCGAGCGGCAGCGGGUCCCCGCGAGGGGAUGCCGGCGAGCGGCGGACGGGUGAGGAACACAUCGGAAUCUGCCUGGUUGUGGGGGAUAACGUAGGGAAACUUACGCUAAUACCGCAUGCGACCCUGAGUCGACGGACUGGGGGUGGAAAGUGAGGGACCUUCGGCCGUCACGCGACCAGAUGAGCCGAUGUCGGAUUAGCUAGUUGGCGGGGGUAAC